UGGUUCUACCUAUACUUUCCUGGCCUUCUGUAACACUUUUAAGUUUUAAAUUCAUAGUGCAAGGGGUAUGGAGAAGCUUCUCCAUGGUGCCUCAGCAGUAUUGAUCUGGAGAGCAGUUGUUGAGGAGUUUGAGUCUAGACUCUGCCAGCAAAACAGGUUGUGCAUGACCGAGGGGUGUGUAUGUAGUGUACAGAGUCUAGAACAGAAAUCCCUUUUGCCCAGGUCUAAGGGCAGGGCCGCAAAGGGCCUUGGUGAGUUCUCCUACCAAAUAUGGGUCAAUGUCUUAUUGUCUCCUGGACACUAAAACCCUGAGAAAGGGCAGAGGUGCCCCAAAUAUUGCCCAGAACCAGGUGGUGUGCUAACUGCUGACUCACUUUUAUGCAUGGCCUUCCCACUCAAAGAACCAAGGCAGAAAAAAAAAUCAGGAAAUCAAGACAGAUAGCUGUUUUCAGGUUAUUCUUGUGAAUCGCCCAGGUAUCUUGCUUCCCUUCCUUGUGGUUUGUCUUUGGGCCCAUCUCCUCUCCCUGCGGGUCCCACCCCCUGAAAUGUCAAAGCCAUAGUGAGGGAUUCCAGUGAAGGCAGGGAUCAUCUGUAGUUCCCGCUAGCUACACAGUAGGGACUCCUGUCAUACAAAUAAAAAAAAGUCAACUACACCUUAACAGUUACUGAGCUGACUCUAGCAAUGAAAACGAACAAUGUCAAGAUUAAAGGAGGAAAAAAGUCAAUGGAUGUAUAAGUAUGGUCUUAACCAGAUGUCUUCUGAAGAAUUGAGCCUCUGAGAAAUCGAGGUAUACCUACAUACAGCGUUUCUCUCCCUUGUCCCCCAUAGCUAUUCCCCAAAAGCCAAAUUAGGUUCAGAUGUGUGACUCCUCCUCCCAGCCACAAAAGCUAUGGCCCCAGGGGAAACUAAUUUCUAAUAUGGCCUCCUAGGAGGGCCCCAGCCAAGGCCUGGUAAGGCCAUGUUGGGCUCUGCAAUCACCCAGUCUCUCUCUCUCUUUCUCUCUCUCUCACUGACAAGACAGCCUUUGGAGAAGAUGAGCUAUAGAAUGUGCCACAGCAGAAAGAGAAAGAAAUCAGCAGAAGAGACAACCAAGAGCAUCAUCAAAGCAAUUUUAUUACCUCUUUUACCAGCCUAUAGGACAACCCAAAGGCUUCAAUUUACUGGAGAUGAUGUGGUGGUGACGGCUGCCUUGGCAGGAAGAUCAGCCAUUUUGACCCAAUUUGAGAUGUCCGCCAUUUUGGGUGCUCCUGUCUCUCAGCCAGCCCAACAGCAGGAUGACAACCGGAUGACACAGUUGGAAACUGGAGUCCCACCGUUACUCUCCCCAAAUGAGGAUCCUGAGCCACAGUCCUGGACAAGGGGGAGCUUGCAGGACAGACUCAGGGGCCCUGAGUGGGCAGGAGGGAUCCAUGAUAGAGUUGAGUGGCAAAACCGAAGUCACAAACAGGCACAGACUGAUGAAGGUGUUUUCAGGAAGUGA
rnacentral:lncRNA from 1 species